AACUGAUACUACCUGCGGGAACCUGCGGAGGGAUCAUUACAAGUGACCCCGGUCUAACCACCGGGAUGUUCAUAACCCUUUGUUGUCCGACUCUGUUGCCUCCGGGGCGACCCUGCCUUCGGGCGGGGGCUCCGGGUGGACACUUCAAACUCUUGCGUAACUUUGCAGUCUGAGUAAACUUAAUUAAUAAAUUAAAACUUUUAACAAUGGAUCUCU
rnacentral:misc_RNA from 1 species